UUUGGAUCCAUGAUGUGAAUGUGUAACUGCGUUAUCUUUCUGCAAUUCCCAUGAAGAAGGAUAUAUAAUACACUGAGAUCCAAA
rnacentral:snoRNA from 1 species